rnacentral:rRNA from 1 species
CACGGGUGAGUAACGCGUAUCCAACCUGCCUCUCUCAUUGGGAUAGCCUUCCGAAAGGGAGAUUAAUACGAGAUGGUGUUCAGUUUCCGCAUGUUUACUGAACUAAAGAUUCAUCGGUAACGGAUAGGGAUGCGUGACAUUAGAUAGUUGGCGGGUAACGGCCCACCAAGUCUACGAUGUCUAGGGGUUCUGAGAGGAAGGUCCCCCACACUGGAACUGAGACACGGUCCAGACUCCUACGGGAGGCAGCAGUGAGGAAUAUUGGUCAAUGGGCGCAGGCCUGAACCAGCCAAGUAGCGUGAAGGAUGAAGGUUCUAUGGAUUGUAAACUUCUUUUGUCAGGGAGCACUAAGCCACGAGUGGUGUAAAGAGAGUACCUGAAGAAAAAGCAUCGGCUAACUCCGUG